GAUGAACGCUGGCGGCGUGCCUAAUACAUGCAAGUCGAGCGAACAGACGAGGAGCUUGCUCCCCUGACGUUAGCGGCGGACGGGUGAGUAACACGUGGAUAAACUACCUAUAAGACUGGGAUAACUUCGGGAAACCGGAGCUAAUACCGGAUAAUAUAUUGAACCGCAUGGUUCACUAGUGAAAGUCGGUUUUUCUGUCACUAAAAGCUGGCUCCGCGCCGCAUUAGCUAGUUGGUAAGGUAACGGCUUACCAAGGCAACGAUGCUUAGCCGACCUGAGAGGGUGAUCGGCCAGACUGGAACUGAGACACGGUCCAGACUCCUACGGGAGGCAGCAGUAGGGAAUCUUCCGCAAUGGGCGAAAGCCUGACGGAGCAACGCCGCGUGAGUGAUGAAGGUCUUCGGAUCGUAAAACUCUGUUAUUAGGGAAGAACAAAUGUGUAAGUAACUAUGCACGUCUUGACGGUACCUAAUCAGUAAGCCACGGCUAACUACGUG
rnacentral:rRNA from 1 species